rnacentral:rRNA from 1 species
CCUACGGGAGGCAGCAGUAGGGAAUCUUCCACAAUGGGCGAAAGCCUGAUGGAGCAACGCCGCGUGGGUGAAGAAGGUCUUCGGAUCGUAAAACCCUGUUGUUAGAGAAGAAAGUGCGUGAGAGUAACUGUUCACGUUUCGACGGUAUCUAACCAGAAAGCCACGGCUAACUACGUGCCAGCAGCCGAGGUAAUACGUCGGUGGCCAGCUUUAUCCGGAUUUAUUGGGCGUAAAUGGAACGCAGGCGGUCUUUUAAGUCUGAUGUGAAAGCCUUCGGCUUAACCGGCGUAGUGCAUUGGAAACUGGGAGACUUGAGUGCAGAAGAGGAGAGUGGAA